rnacentral:tRNA from 1 species
GCAUUAAUGGGGUAGUGGUAACCUGGGUCGUUGCCAUUAGCUUACGAAGCUCGACCCGCCGGGGGUUCGAUUCCCCCUUAAUGCA